AAGGAAAUGUUCUGUUCGAUUAAGUAAUCUGUGUCGAGUAAUCUGAAAGUCUUUUCUCUCCUCUUUAUCUUUUGGCGGGUCAGCCUUAUUAGUCUUGACUGAAUCUCAUUUCAACUGAGCAACUGGCAAAAGCACGUCACGUUAUCGCCGCCUUUUAGCCAUUUAACAAAAGAUUCCUUGAAAGCAUCUAUCGUUAACGACACCACAAUGGCCGCCAUGCUUUUGUCUUUUAACUCUCUUGGGAAUGCUUGCAACCCAUCAUUAUCUGAAGGGUUAGGGUUAGGGGAGUGAUAUUUUGCAUCCACUCUAUAAACCAUCUUACUAACAAAAGCUCUAGUUAAUAGCUGUCUUGGUAAAUCCAUAAAGAAUUGCCAAAGGUGUUGCCAGACAACGGGGCAUCCCCAGCCAUUACCAGCAUUGUAUAUAAAGACUACCGCGAUAGAAUCUCAGGUCUAGUGUGAAUCGAAUCAGUUAAUAUCAUUAGUYGUUUAGAGUAGUUUGGAUCUGUUGAUAAUGAAUUUCUCAAGUCACGCCUUGCUGUUUGGGUGUCUUCUAAUAUCGUUAGGAUUAGUUCAAGUCACACAAGCUGUAGUGGGACCUUACAGUCGUGAUACCGAAAUCUCGACACGAUUCGUUCAGGGAAUGAAAGAUUAUUGUGGGCGAGCAGAAAUCUUGUGCCAAGAUGAACCGACGCAUGCGACGAAUCUAAGAACUAUCCGACAAAAGAUUGUCGAAAGAAAGAAGCAUGCAUAAGAUGUGUCAACCGGAGCCUUUGUUCUCAGAGGCUUUUCAGGCAGUGUAAAUGGUUAAAGCUUCUUAUUUAGCUAGGAGUUGAUCGAAACAUAARCUUAAAAGUUCUAUCCAGCAAUUUGAAAAGAUUUUGUACGCAACAUGCAGUAACGAAAAAAUAAAUAAAGCAGCUCUAUAAAAUGAA